rnacentral:rRNA from 1 species
AUUGAACGCUGGCGGCAUGCCUAACACAUGCAAGUCGAACGAGUGGCGGACGGGUGAGUAAUGUCUGGGACACUGCCCGAUGGAGGGGGAUAACUACUGGAACCGGUAGCUAAUCCCGCAUACCAUCGGAUGUGCCCAGAUGGGAUUAGCUAGUGGGGGGGGUAAUGGCUCACCUAGGCGACGAUCCCUAGCUGGUCUGAGAGGAUGACCAGCCACACUGGAACUGAGACACGGUCCAGACUCCUACGGGAGGCAGCAGUGGGGAAUAUUGCACAAUGGGCGCAAGCCGGAUGCAGCAAGGCCGCGUGGAUGAAGAAGGCCUUCGGGUGGGAAAGUACUUUCAGCGAGGAGGCGUUACUCGCAGAAGAAGCACCGGCUAACUCCGUGCCAGCAGCCGCGGUAAUAC